GCGCUUAUUUCAGACAGCUCCCGGGAAGAGGCGACGUCCCUCCGGCUCCUAGGUGCAGGGGUAGCCAGGGGCUCUGCGCACUGCCCUGUAUGCAGGUGUCACCCCCGCAGCCUGAGGUGGGGGCAGCGUGCAGAGUCCCCAUGUCCACCCCUGUGCCUAGGAGCUGGAGGGACAUGCUGACCGCUUCCAGGAGCCGCACGGAGGCUGCCUGCCCUGCUGGCGCUGCGGCCAACCAGACUUUUGGUGACCUGGUCAGCUGUGGUGACCGGAGCCACCAAGGUCCCUUUUCGACCAGGUGUUCCUGUCGAAAACUAGACGCAUGGCAACCCUAUCCAGGGCCUUCCUUGCAUGGUAGAAGAUGCAUCAUAAAUUAUUGUAAUGUAGUGUAUCCUUGGUUUGGGGGAAAAUCUGUCAGAUUUACCAGUCCACCCCAUUUCUUCCCAUGAUGGUGGGUCCCUGGAGAGCCAGCACAGAUGAGCUUUCAUGUGGAAAGAAGGAGGAGCACCGUUCCCCCCAUUCUCUGUGUUCUCCGGCCAGAUCUGCACUCUGAGAAUCAGAGAUUGGGAAAUUGAGGUAGAGAGGUAAAAUGACUUGCCCAAGGUUGCAGAAGAAUACGCUGUCAGAGAUGGGGUAGAAGGACCUGAUUCCACUCCUGUUUUCCGAAGAGAGCUCUCUCUAAAUUUUGCAGCAGGAUCUAUGGCUUAGGUUCUUUUCUGCACUGAGAUCCUCUCAGCGCAAGUUGGGUGGAACUCCCUGGUUAUCAUGGUGUAUCUGCCCUAUUUCCAGUUACCUUUACAAUGGAUUCUGCCGCUCUGAUUUGUGACAGCGGGCAGUGAUUCCUGAGGUCACUGAUUUAGGUGCCUGGUUGUGGAUUUAGGAGCUUAACUUUAGGCAUCCAGUUUGGGUUAAAGUGUUUUUGUUCGCAUCUCCCAACUCCCACCUCCUCUUGUUUUCAUCAAAGCCAUACUUUGGAGAGUUGGAAAAUGGUUUGUAAUGCUGAUUGGAGCAGUAUCAUAAUAAAAUGCAAAUAUGCCUGAAGUUUGAAAACGGUCAUUGUUUCACACUAACAUAUUGUAACCAUAAAUGCUGGAGCUCUUGAAAUAAAAUGUGCCUAUAGGAGUCCUGUCUAUAUGUGUUUUGGGGGUUUGGGAAUGAGGCAGGUUUCUGUUUUCUUUGCAACUUAUCCAAUAUUUCUGAUGGGAAUAGUUCACAACUAAAGCUGUGCCUUCCUUUGGGGGAAACACACCAUUUAACUUCUCUCUUCUUUAUAUAUAUACCAAGGAACUGAUGUUUUGAUCCCCUGAGAGGCCCAUAUCUGUUCACUGCAUUUGUUCAUUUCAGGAAAAUUCUGUAGUAGCUGAAAAGAGAGUUUGCUUGGUUUAUUGUGUGUCAAACCUUUAUGCUAUAGCAAUGAAGAUAUGCAUUCACAAAUUCAAUUUUGAGGGGGGAGGAAGGGAUCAGAGAAGGAUGAUCAGGUCUUAGGGGGAAAAGAGAUUCAAUAGCUAGCAUAUCUGAAAUUAGAUUUUAGAAAUUAUUGUUUAUUUUUAAAAAGGUCUCAAGGUCUUGGGGAAAGUAGAUCAGUAGGGAGCAUAUUUAAAAUUAGAUUUAAUAAAUUACUGUAAUUUAUUACUAUUUUUAAAUCACAUGCAGCAACAUCCCUGUUUACCCUGCUUGAUAAUAGAGGAUAGCGCAUUUGUAAGUAAAACACACAAGCCUGUGAACUCAUAUCUUGGGUUGGAAACAUGAGGAUGCAAACUUUAAUGAAAUUCAGACAUUAAAAUACUCAGCGAGGCAAAGAGUGCAUGUCUACAGAAACAAAGGGAGUUAGGAUAUCAAGAAAUGUGGGCUUUGAAGCCAUUUAGCAAGGCCCUGGAUUCCAUGAUUUAUCUAAAAGCCAUGAGAUGCACCUCUUAAAAAAUGCAAAUAUCUGCAUUGCAUCUUGUAGCUGUAAUGAACAAGUCUUUCACAAAAUAGAAACAUUCAGCUAGUUCUGGGGCACUUACUGUGGCUUCAUAUGCUGUGCUGCAUGCUUGUGCCCUUUAAUCACGAUGCCUUUUGUUUUUUCAAAACUUAAAUGAGAUGCACAUGAAUGUUUAAAUGGUGUACACUCCAGUUUUGUUUUAUUUAAAAAAACAUGAUUAAAUAAGCCAAUCAAAUGCAAUCCUCUCGAAGGCUGGGGCAUGGUAAAUCAUGGAAAGCUAUGAAGCUGGCAGCCACAAAAGUAUGUAAAUUUCCUGAGCUGCUAAUCGCAUGUAGGACUACAGCUUUAGGUUACCAGAAGACCCAUGUUACCCAGUGGGGAGCAAUUUAAAACACCACAGGGUCUGUUGAGGGAGAAUGCCUGUAUGCAUGCAGAUGUAUAUUAAUGAGCUCAAGCUAAAGUUUGCUUUUCUGUAAAUUAGGGCUUAAAAGAAGGAAACAUUUUAAAGCAUUUCAUAGAUUUUCAAACUAGAUAUAGUAUGUCUCACUGGUCUUCACUAUGGGACUGAUCCAACCACUGAAGUCAACUGAAGGGUUAUUAUUAGCAUCAGUGGGCUUUAGAUCAGGCCUUAUCUUAAUAUUUUCACUGUACUAAAGUUUUUUUGCUGCGAUUAAGGGAAAGAAUAGUGAUCUGUUCAUCAAAUAAAAUCCAAAUCAGUCCAUCACCCUCAAUGAAGAUUUUUAGUAUAGGCUUACACAUAUGUGCGUGAGUGUAUAUAGAUUAUAUUUUGGUUAGUCUGGAUUGCAAGUUACAAAAGAUCUGUUUCUGACAGGAAAAAAAUAGGUAAUUAAAAGGAGUAAGAGACAAAAUGCCAGCUUGUAGAUUUGUUUCCCCUGCAGAAAUAGGCGCCCCUGUUAGAUUGCUCUUUCUUGAUCUGAUGUAACAAGAACAGAGAGUCAGCUGUGAAUCAAGCGCCUUGUUCUCAUUUCCUUGAUCAUUGACAUGGUUUGAGAGAGAGACAGGAGGAGGGAUUAUUUGUGAGGUUAUUAAAAAAAAAAAAAUCCAGCUGCCCCUCCUCCUCCCCUCUAAAAUGCAGAGAUAAUUCUAGAACGUUCCAUAAUAUGAGUUUGACGUUUCUCAUUAAAUAUCAUCCUCACUCCUUAUUUGUUAAAAAGUGCUUUUUACAAGUCACUAAGCAGAUAAUUUGAAGCUCUGAUGAGUGAAUUGCCAGUUAGCAAUUCAGUGGGAAGUACAUUUUUAUUUUAUUUUUUACCCAGCAGGCUGUGUAAUGGUUAUAGAAAUUAAAGGAUAAUUGCAUUUAAGUGAAUUUAUGCUUUUACAAUCCCACUGUUACUGUUAUUAGAAUAUUUACCACUGUUGAAAAUUCUCUCUUCACGUAGACCUGCUAAUUCUUCAUUCCCAACCUCUGCUGGAAACUAGCCAUUUUGAGAGUUUUAGUUGUAUCAGAUUGACAUAAGGGCUAGUUUUUCUGGUGAUUUUAAUUAUUACCCAUUACAGUGCCUUUGCACUUAGGUUUCAUUUGCGACAGCAUUAGGUUCAUUCAUUUAAAGUUUACAUUAGAAAUGAUCAUUAAUGACUUUUUUUUCCUUUAUUUAUGGUUUCAGAUUAGGUGCUACAUAGUCCACAUUUAAAAAAAAACCUCUGAGAAAUGUCUUUCUCAUUGAGAGAUUAAAAGUAAAUUUGGUAGUGUACGACGUUUAGUUUCUGUACAUGGCAAUAUACUUCUGCAAUAUAUAAAAAUUGCUGAUGUGUAAAAGUGCUUCGUAAUACUUGUAAAACAGACUUUUAUUCCUAACGAAGAGCUCUACUGGAGAGUAUCUUAACACAGAUCAGAGCUAGUCAGAGCAUAGAGAGCCAUUAUACCUAAAUACAAAGGCUCAUUCAUUAUUUGUUGGGUGUUUGUUGUCUCUCUUAAUUAAAGACAUGCUGGAAAAAAAGGUUUUACAACCUCUUUAGUUUAAGAAGAGAAGACUCAGAAAUAGUGAGCCAUUUUAAUUAAUUGAUUAUUUUUGUGGGGGGAGUCCCUACUCCUCUACUCCAGGCAGCAUUUGUCAUCCUUUGGCAGGAAUGACUAAUUUCCUUCGAAAUCUCCAAUCUGGAGUCAUAUAGAGUGGCUUCCAUUCCCUCCCCCACCCCCAAAAGCUUCUGGUGUUCUGUGUUUGGGGAAGGGAGGGGAGGAAGGUUAUAUGUUUCUGACCUGCUUUACUGCUUUUCAUCUGAAAGUAAAUUAAUAGACACACUAGAUUCCCCUCUACUGUGCUGAUUGGAUCCUUGUGCCGAUUAAAUAUUGCACACUGAUAGAGGGAUGCUGAAAGCACUCAGCUGGUAAUAUGGUAUGUACAUCAGUGGUACAAUAACUGACUUUCAGGUUAACGUCAAACAAAAACCCAGUUUGCUACAGUUUUGAUUAGAAUGGGUUUUUGCUUUGAAUGUAAAUCCUUGUGCCCUGCUGUAGUGAUGGCUAAUUAGCAGAGAUCUGAUAGAAAAAAUGAAUGGAUUCUUAUUUCUAAUGACAGUAAGCAGUAAGUUGUCAAAAAAAGGGGAGGGGGAGAAAACAACACACAAAAGGAGACCUUUUUUUCAAUAGCGACCAUACUUUGUGCCUCAACACACAAACCUUCCUUCCGUUGUACCUUCCUGAUCUGUUUUCUCCAAAGGGCAGUUCUUGUUUGACCAAGGAUCUGUCACGGCUCUAAAAGUUUAUUCCUGCUUUCCAUACCCUAUGACAGUUCUGUCAGGGUGUUUUUGGAUCUAUAUUCAAGUUCUCAUCAGAUUUUUCUUUUUCCUGCUGAUGAAUGCUAGGAGCCAGGAGACAAUUCCAGUGAAGUCACUACUGCUUUCCUAAGUAUCUAUCUCUUUAUCUCUCUAUCCAUAGUUCUUUCUGCCUCAUAUUUGUCUCCCUUAUGCUCUUCAGUCUCUAUCGUGGCACACUUGAGAGGGCUGUGAUUGGCUCUUGCUUUGUGGAUCAGUAAGCAGAAAGAGUGUUAACUCCUCAGUGGUGAUGUGCUGGAGUGGGCUCCCUGGGGCCCCGUGGUAAAAUUGCAACACCAAAUUAAAGGGAAGGUUGGAUGAUCUCCUGCCUCUGAUGGAGUUCACCCUCACUCUCUGGAUGCUGUUAAAUCAUCCCUCCCAGUGAUGACCUAUCCUUGGGGUUCAUUAAAAAUACUUCUGUAGUGCAAUUCCCCCCCACCCCUUUAGAAUGAACCAGAUUGCACCAAAAUGGCAGGUUGUUUAAAAAAUCAAAUGGGAAGGAGAGGCUAUCCCAGACUCACCUACAAAUGCCAUUACCCCAGUUCAAAUUACAGAAAUUGGACAAAGUGCUAUAUUAUCAAUAAACUAUGGUUCAGGAACAGAGUGUAAAAUGUUCCCAUCAAAGUUAUGGAUAUGACAGAGCAUUUUUAAUAAUGGGGAAACCAAAUAGAUCCUUCAGUUCCUCACCCUUCCACUCUGUGAGGACAGCAGCCCUUGGUAUUUGGGGUUGUUCACAGGCACAGAGGAUAUAUUUUUAUGGGAGCCCGUUGUUGAAAUAUUGGUAGCACAUCAUCAAUCCCACCUAAGGCCCUAUUCCUGCAAAUACUUGCAUAGAUGUAUACAUCUAUUCAUGGGAGUAGCCCUAUUCACUUCUCUCGGCCCUGAUCUACACUAGGACUUUAGGUCAAAUUUAGCAGCAUUAAGUCGAUGUAAACCUGCACCCGUCCACACGAUGAAGCCCUUUAUUUCGAAUUAAAGGGCUCUUAAAAUCGAUUUCCUUACUCCACCCCUGACAAGUGGAUUAGCGCUUAAAUCGGCCUUGCCAGGUCAAAUUUGGGGUACUGUGGACACAAUUCAACGGUAUUGGCCUCCGGGAGCUAUCCCAGAGUGCUCCAUUGUGACUGCUCUGGACAGCACUCUCAACUCAGAUGCAUGAUUGCCAUUGCUCUGACGCAGGGAGGGGCGACUGACGACAUGGCUUACAGGGUUGGCUUACAGGGAGUUAAAAUCAACAAAGGGGGUGGCUUUACAUCAAGGAGUAUUUCAGGCAGGACUUCACGGAGGGUUCCAAUAAGAAACGGUGCACCUAAGUUAUUGUUCUUAUUGGAACAAGCAGGUUGGUCUGGCCUCUGAUUGAUACAUGACUAGAUUUACCUUGCUGCACCUUCUCUGUGAGUGACUGCAGUGUGACCUAGAGGAAUGAGUCCCCUAGAUGGGGGGCGGGGUUUGCAAAUGAGUACAAAACAAAUCUGGUCUAUUUCUUGUUUUGAUACACUCUAUGUUUUACAUCUUUGACUGGCAGCAGAUGGUGCAGAAGGACUACAUGCCAUCCACAUCUCAUGGCUACUCGGCAGAAGAUGGUACAAUAGGACUGCUAGCCAUCCUCAUCUCUUGCCUGCCCGGCAGAAGAUGGUACAAGAGGACUGCUAGCAAUCCGUAUCGCCUGCCUGCUCACCAUAAGAUGGUUCAAUAGGACUGACUGCAGUACUAAAGAGAAUGACCUGAUCAAGUCACUCCAAAUUUAGUCCCUGCGCCCAUGUCUGCCCAGGCGCUCCUGAUCGACCUCACAGAGGCGACCAGGAGCACCUCGGACAUGACGAUGACGGCUACCAGUCCUACUGUACCGUCUGCUGCCAUAAGGCAAGGCGUUGCUGCUGCUGUGUAGCAAUGCAGUAACACAUCUGCCAGCACCCAGGAGACAUACGGUGACGGUUACCUGAGCGGGCUCCAUGCUUGCCGUGAUAUGGCGUCUGCACAGGUAACUCAAGAAGAAAGGCGCAAAACGAUUGUCUGCUCUUUCUUUCAUGGAGGGAGGGAGGCAACGGGGGCCUGACGAUAUGUACCCAGAACCACCCGCGACAAUGUUUUAGCCCCAUCAGGCAUUGGGAUCUCAACCCAGAAUUCCAAUGGGCAGCGGAGACUGCAGGAACUGUGGGAUAGCUACCCACAGUGCAACACUCCAGAAGUCAACGCUUGCCUCGGUACUGUGGAAGCACUCCACCAAGUUAAUGCACUUAAUGCACUUAGAGCAUUUUCUGUGGGGACACACACACUCGAAUAUAUAAAACCGAUUUCUAAAAAAACAACUUCUAUAAAUUCGACCUAAUUUCAUAAUGUAGACAUACCCUAGGGCUACUUCUUUUCGUAAAGUUAUGUAGGAUCAUAAGUGUUGGCAGAUCAAGGCCCAAAUGAAUAAGGGUCAUUGCUCACAGCUGGGUAUCAAAAAUGGCAAUUGGAAACACAUUGAAAAGCAUAUGAAAAUGCAUACUGUUACCAAAACCACAAAUCUUGAAACAUCCCAUAUACUGUGGUUAUUGCCAGAAUAAGCAUGUGCUUGUGGUCUGUCACUGUUAGAAUAUUAAAGAGUCAAUUGUUCAACUGAGUUUUAUUGUGAGAACUGAGUAAAUUAACAGAGGUCAAGACCCUCCUCUCUGAGGGAAUCUCUAUUCAGCUAUCUCACAUGCAGUGCCUUAGGUUUGUGGCAAAUAUUAAAUUAUUAAUUGGUAGGCCUUCGCUUUGGUUUUAUAAUAGGUUACCAUUCUUCUGAGAGCUUGACAAACUCUCAUACGCAACAUUUUUCCUUCUAGGCCAGCUCAGGAAAAUAAUAGAUGUUGCUCUGGAAACAAUUGCAAUUUUUCAUAGCAAAAGUGCAUUGUCAGACAAUAUCAUUCUGGAAGGAUUACUGGAACAAAGUCUACGUCUAAAGCAGAAGUGGUUACAAUAUAGACAGCAAUGGGCAGUGAAUUCUAAGUCCCUUUUAUACAGGUCACAUCUUAGUUUGGAAACAUUAAGGUUUGUUGGCAGGCUUGUUGUAUCAGUUUAAAGUCACUGCCAUAGGGGAAGAUAAUCAGUAGCACAGUAUAUGUUUUAGAAUUUGAUCACAUUCUUAUUUAACAAUCUGCAUAGGUACAUGUGUAGAUUACUAUUGAUAUACACGGCACAUCAGACCUUGUAAGGUUACCAAAAAAUGAUGUAAACUACAGCAGAGUAAAAGUGGAGAAACUGAAAUCUUAACUUACAGUGAAUGGUAAUAUCAACUCCCCAACGCGGGUGUCGGUGCAUGUUUGUUCCAGCAUCUGUACUGAGACACAAUAGCUAUUUGCUUUUGCCUGUGGCUUCCGAAAGCAGCAUUCUUCAAAUCCAUCUCUCUCCCCUAUUCCCUUUUCUUUAAUAUGAAACUCAGCAAUCUGUUUAAUAAUUAGCAUCUGAGUAGCAGGUAGGAGCCUCACUUAUUCCAAAUGUCCAGAAAUGAGAGUAAAACUCUUGCAUUCCUGUUUCCCCCACAUCCUACAAACCUUUAUGAGCACAGACCUCUGUGGAACACAAUUUUUUGCAUUUAAAAACAAACAUAAAGGGUAAAGCUAUUUUGAUACAUUUGGGAAAAAAAUAUUAGCACUGCUUUGUAUAGUUGAAAUCUAAGAAGAGGAAUCUGCCAUGUAGAAUACAGAAAAUCAUAAACAAGCAGCAGCUUUCCAGCACACUGAAGUGUGUUUGCAUGUGACUGGCAUACAUAUCUCAAACUCCAGUUUGCCUCUGGCAUCCUGCAGUGAAAAUGAAAGUUGUGCUGCUAUUGAAAAGGCGCUGCUUCAAAACUGGUGUAUUGUGGGGAGUGAUAUGUGUAGAUGAGAAGCAGUGUGCUGCUUUCCAGCAUUUAGAGCCAAUAUUUUUUUUGGCUCCCCUAUUAUGACCGUACAUGUUUUUGACUGUUAUGCCCAAAGCAUGCUUAGAUUCUUAUUAUUCAUCAUUCCAAAAGUGUCAGAGAAUAUGUUAUGCUGACUGAUUCCCAAAAUGCAGAUUUUGUCUCUUUUAGAAACAAGAAUAUUCUUAAUUAAUUUGGCAGAAAUAUAAUACAGCAAAUGUAGGUUUUGUUGGGGAUUUUUUUAACCUCUCAUACUACACUCUAUUGUUUCUGCCAAGAUGCCUUUAUCAGCACUUCCUGGGGUAUAACAUUUAAAAAAAAGGUUCUUUAAAAAAGAAAAACCAUAUGGUUUCUAUUCUUUUACCAAAAGAAUCUAAGUGAGAUGUUUUAGUGUUAUUAGAUGCAUUUUGCAUGGAAAAUGCAAUCAGACACAAAUGAAAAAUGUCACCUCUUCCAAACAGGUGAGUUUAGCUUUCUGAAACUAAUCUUCAGUAUCUACCACUCAGAUAUGUUUCCACAUCUAGCUUCUAAAAUUCAUGCCUUUUUAAACAAAUAAUUUCAGUAUAUUCAUCAUAAGAAGUAUUGUUUUGUCCACUUAGUGGAAAUAUUUGGAAUAAGUUGGUUGGUUAUUUCAGGUUUAUGAUAGUGGCAACAUUCUUCUCUGCAUUUACGUUUCUUAAGGAUAGAAGUCAAAACUUAUCCUUAAAGGGGAAUACAAAUAUCCCUUUAACAAGGAAAAAUUCAGAGGGGUCAACCGUAAGAACCACUUAAUGUUUGCUCUGAGUUAGAAUUUAAAACAAACAACAAAACUAAUCAUGUUUCAGCUAUUUCUGGUGCAGAUAUACAAAUAGGCAUUUUCAUCAGUUUAUUAUGAAAAAUAGUGUCAGAAAGAAAUUAUUAAUAUGUCUCUCAGUGGGAUGUGUGGGUCACCAUGGAAAAUAAGGCUGAUAUUAAUGUGAAUAAAGGAACAGCUAAACAUUUUUAAUUGUACACAAUUUCUGCUUUGUAUUGUCUCUAUUCUUCCCCUUUGCAGCAAGUUGAAAAGCAAUUAUUGAGUAUUAAACUGUGUAAGGAAAGUAUCCUGCUUGCUUCUUAACUUGCUUUUGUUUCCACUGUUGUUCCAAAUACUGCAUAUCUUCAGUUUUGCUUGUUCUGUUGAAUUGAGUCAGAGAAAAUUUAAAGUAUUCUGGUACCUUUUUAAAUGUUAUAUGAGGAAAACAAUGAAUGUCCGUACGCUUAUCGUGAAAGUAUAUAGCAGAACAGCAUAUUUGUACGUUUCUGUGAUGUGAAGUUUCCUAUCCUGGCAAUCUAAAUAUUGGGAACUUCUUAGGGUAGACAUUAAAAUCCAGUUAUAAAAUAUGACAAACAAGUAAAAUGUAGAUGCAGGGGACGUAUGCUGCUCUCACUUACACUACUGGAAAUCCUGGCCCCAUUAAAGUAAAUAGCACACGGACACACAGGCAGCUGUGAAUUGAAUUGAAUAGAGUGAGGAUUUCACCUCCCCCCCACCUCUAUUUAUUUCUAAGUAACAGAUUUAUAUUGUUGUAACUGAAAGCAGAAUUUUGCCCAUGGUCUCCAUUAUGAGCUUUUCAUGAUAUAUCACAUAUGAUAUAAAAUGAAACAAUAUUACUGCAAAGCUGCAGUCUUAGUCAGAAAGCUGUAUCUUACUCUGAAUAUGAGUGAUAUAUUUAAUACAGCUAAAAUGAGAUAAAGAUGAAAACAGGUUUGACACAAGUCUCUUAUAUCCAGUACUCUGGCAACUAUAAAGGCAUGAGUAUGUCAGCAGAACAUGGAAUAGUAGAAGACAACCUGAUCCAAAAGAAAGUAGCUAUUUAUAAGUUCUCAGCAAUAUUAAUACCUUUUGACAACUGUGACAUUUUUAUAUGCCUUAAAAAGUAACAGGUUUUUUGGCUUUCACUAGAAUGCCUGACCCCAAUAGCUUGAAAAAUAAUGUAAGUUAUUUUAAAAAAUCUUAAAGAAAACACACAUUUAAAAAAAUGCGGUGACAACAUAUGGAAAAGUAAAAUGUGUAAAUCCUGGAGGAAAUCUGAAGAA